UGCCAUUUCCAUUUCUCUUUUUCCUCUCCUUCUUCUUCUUCUUUUUUUUCUUUUUGAUCAAUGAGUUAAAGGUUGAUAAGUUAGCAUUGAUUAGGGAGACUUAAUCUUCCUUGAUCCAAACCUAAUUCAUCUUGAUCAAUUGAUCAAGUGAAUGGCUUUGCAUUAAGGAUAGGUUAUUUCCUAAAUCAUGCAAAAGACUUAAACCAAUACAAGAUCAAUUUUCUUCUUCUUUUUGGCAUGGCAAGUUGUUG
rnacentral:lncRNA from 1 species